rnacentral:lncRNA from 1 species
CUCUGGUCUCUAUGGGCCAUGUUCUCAUGUUGCAAGAAAUGACUUGAGCCCAGUAAUAGCUGAAUAGUUGUCUCCUGUAAAUGAGAUGGUCACUACAGUCCGUUCAUCAGCCUCAAGCUAAAUGUUCAUCUGUCCCUCAUUCAUGUGGACACCCGAAUGGAUACUACAAAGGAGGGCAGGCAGGACGAACUAUUAGAGCCCUGCACAAGAGGAGCUGUUGUUGUCACCGUGGUGGCAGUGGGUUCGCUACCUGCUGGCAGGUCUGA